GUGGUUUUCAAUACGUAUAUCAGUUAAGAGAAAGAAGAGGUAUCAUAGAAUCCUCAAGUGACACUGGAAAAGCUGGAACAUGGGAGCAGCCACAUUUGUCAAGGAUGCAUAGGAGACAAGAGUAUCAAAGCGUUCUCAAAAUUGCAGGCAACCUUGUUCUCAGCCAACAAAGCCCUAACAUGCCUAUAAGAGGAUUUGUAGAAAUUUAGGGUGACCUUCAGACCAAUUGGUAUUUUCCCUCAUGUUAUGAAUAAAAUUGGGUAAAUUUAAACACUUAUUUCUACUUAAUGAAAGUAAAAGAAAAAUAAGUAAAAUGAGUAAACUGAUUUAAUAAGUCAAUUAAUUUGGAGGAGUUAAGUGUUCCUCUAACAGGACCAGCUGUUUGUAGAUCAACAUUCAUUCUAGGGCUUUGCUUUGGCAUUGUAAUACUGCCUUAUAGAAAACCUACAAACUAUGUUAGUAUAAUCCUAAGAAGAUGGCAUCCCCAAGACAUUGAUACUUUAAACAAGAUAGCAAAACCUAUGAGACAAAGCCUCCUUACUCGCCCUUUGUUUUUCUGAUUUUGUGGCUGAGAAUGGGAUAACAGCUAUUACCAUGGGGAUAGGAAAACAUUUCCUAAAAAGUAAAAAAUAUUUUACCACAUGGGUAACGUGUUUGCUGACAUUUUUUUCCCUUAAUCAACUAAACAAAUUGGUCAUUAUUUUGAUCCGUCCAUUUGUGAGGAGAAACAAAGUCAGUUCAGUGGCAAACCCUCUGUUGUGUCCACACUUCAGUUUAUAAAGGUCCUAACGACUGGUAAGGUAUAAUAGCAGGACAGGAGAGUUUUGUUAAAGGUAACCCGUCUCUACAUUUUCUGUGAAAAACCAGCCAAUAUACCCCAGUGGAAAACAUCAAUCAGGUUAAUUGUUUGCUUUAUUCUUAUUUUCAUUCUAUCUGACUUAUUCUAAUUAUAGAUCCCCCUCUCAGACUCCCAAAAUAAGUGCUCAAACUUCUGAUCAUUCCGUAUCUCAACUGCCAAAUUAGAUGCCAGCUAUUAACCGCUGCCACCUCAUCAACCUGAACUGUUCUUUCACUGUCUGCAGUUAGGUCCCUUCCAGCCACCUUAGAAUGACAAUGCUUUGUUCACAUGCCACUGAAGUCUGAUCACAUGCCCACUGAGUCUCAAGCUUCUACUUUAAGUAGCUUACUCUGCUUGUCAAAAUGAUCAUCCAGUCAAAGGAUCCACAGUGUUCUAGUUUGAGUAAAACUCAAAAGGUCUUGAAGGUUUGCAUUAAGAGAAGUUGGUUAAUGGGUACAAAUAUACAGUUUUAUAGAAGAAAUAAGACCUACUGUUUGAUAGAUCAGCAGUUUAUAAUAAUCCAUUGUGUAUUUCAGAAUAGCUAGAAGAGA
rnacentral:lncRNA from 1 species